rnacentral:rRNA from 1 species
UACGGGGGGGGCAAGCGUUGUUCGGAAUUACUGGGCGUAAAGGGCUCGUAGGCGGUUUGUCGCGUCGGGGGUGAAAUCCACUGGCUUAACUGGUGGCUUGCUUUCGAUACGGGCAGACUGGAGGUAUGCAGGGGAGAACGGAAUUCCUGGUGUAGCGGUGAAAUGCGCAGAUAUCAGGAGGAACACCGGUGGCGAAGGCGGUUCUCUGGGCAUGUCCUGACGCUGAGGAGCGAAAGUGUGGGGAGCGAACAGG